rnacentral:rRNA from 2 species
UAGCAUAUCAAUAAGCGGAGGAAAAGAAACCAACUGGGAUUGCCCUAGUAACGGCGAGUGAAGCGGCAAUAGCUCAAAUUUGAAAUCUGGCCCUCUUUUUGAGGGUCCGAGUUGUAAUUUGUAGAGGGUGCUUUGGCAUUGGUGGCGGUCUAAGUUCCUUGGAACAGGACAUCGCAGAGGGUGAGAAUCCCGUAUGUGGUCGCCUUCCAUUGCCGUGUAAAGCCCCUUCGACGAGUCGAGUUGUUUGGGAAUGCAGCUCUAAAUGGGAGGUAAAUUUCUUCUAAAGCUAAAUACCGGCCAGAGACCGAUAGCGCACAAGUAGAGUGAUCGAAAGAUGAAAAGCACUUUGGAAAGAGAGUCAAACAGCACGUGAAAUUGUUGAAAGGGAAGCGCUUGCAGCCAGACUUGCCCGUAGUUGCUCAUCCAGGCUCUUGCCUGGAGCAUUCGACUGCGGGCAGGCCAGCAUCAGUUUGGGCGGCCGGAUACAGACCUCUGUCACGUAUCUUCCUUCGGGAUGACCUUAUAGGGGAGGUGUAACACGGCCAGUCUGGACUGAGGUCCGCGCAUCUGCUAGGAUGCUGGCGUAAUGGCUGUAAGCGGCCCGUCUUGAAACACGGACCAAGGAGUCUAACAUCUAUGCGAGUGUUUGGGUGUCAAGCCCGGGCGCGCAAUGAAAGUGAACGGAGGUGGGAACCCUUUUGGGGUGCACCAUCGACCGAUCCUGAUGUCUUCGGAUGGAUUUGAGUAAGAGCAUAGCUGUUGGGACCCGAAAGAUGGUGAACUAUGCUUGAAUAGGGUGAAGCCAGAGGAAACUCUGGUGGAGGCUCGCAGCGGUUCUGACGUGCAAAUCGAUCGUCAAAUUUGGGCAUAGGGGCGAAAGACUAAUCGAACUAUCUAGUAGC